CGGGUGUGACGUCGGCGGGGACUCAUUCAUGCGGGGAAGCGGAAGUGUAGAGUGACUCAGCAAAGGUGAUUCAGGUAUAUGUGGUGGCGGCGCUCCGUUGAUUUCGAGAGGUGGGCGAGCGUGUGGACCUGGUGAAUGAAGUGAUUCUUAGGUUGCCACGGACAACUGGCUAUUUUGAAAUCUCGUAUGAAAAGCGACUUCCAGCGUGGAGACUGGAGUUUGGAAGUUUUGUUGUGUCUGGUGUGCCCGCCUGCUAGAAAGCGCAAGCAUUUGAGCGGGUGAUCCCUCUCCUUGAAGGAGCAGAGACAUCUAGGGUGGCUUUCUAAUAAUGGAAUUCCCGGACCUGGGUAAACACUGCUCUGAGAAGACUUGUAAGCAGCUGGACUUUCUGCCCCUGAAAUGCAACGCUUGUGAAGAAGUCUUCUGCAAAAACCACAUUGCCUAUAACCGGCACAAAUGUGCUUUUGCCUACACAAAGGACGUGCAGGUUCCCAUCUGUCCCCUCUGUAAUUCUCCCAUCCCAGUAAGAAAAGGGGAGUCUCCGGAUGCAGUUGUUGGAGUCCAUAUGGACCGAGACUGUAAACGUGAUUCGGUGUUGCAGAAACCAAAGAUCUUCGUGAACAGGUGCUUCCAGCCGGGAUGCAAGAAGAAGGAGAUGAUGCAGCUGGUUUGCGACCAGUGUCACCAGAACUUCUGUCUCCAGCAUCGCCACCCUCUGGAUCAUGUGUGCCAGGGACAGGGCCGGCCCAUGUCCAAAGCAGGGUGAGGCUGUGGGUGUGAGAAGCCGCCGUCGCCUCUGGGCUCAAGCUGCUGAGUGCAGGCAGCAUUGCCUGCUCUGGAGUCACAUGAAAGGGAGUUCUGAAAGCCAGGACUAACUUCACAGCAGCUCUAGCGAGACCGUCUUCAAGUACAGCUUGCUUGGCUUGAUGCCCUUGCUUCCUUUUGCAAGCCAAUUCAAUCACUGGCUCGUCUCCUUGCUGCUAAAUAUCGUAUAUCUCAGAUGUCCGCCAGGUUUAGCAUGCUAAUGGUUGGGGGAAACUGUGGAUAAAUUGUGGAUGUGUGCCUGGCUGGAGCAGGGAAACCUGAGCCGCAUUCGUUACGGAUGGCAGGGAAGCUUGAUGGUGUUCAGUCCUAAUAUCCUGCCUGUAUAGCUUUGUGCUUCCCAGGACAGAAGCUUAUAACGAAAUGCUGCUUACACGUGUGCAGUUCUUGGGAUGAACCUGUGAGCAGGGCCGGUUCCUUGGCAGAGUUUGAGCCAGGAUCUGUGCCGUGAAGCUUCAGGAAUGACUGCAGGGGUAACGCUGCUCAAAUGAAAAUGGCAAAGCUGGAGGGAAAGGUGGCGUGUGCUGAACUUGGCUGCUUCCUUGCAGAUGUGCGGCUCUGAUGAGAUCUCUGGACUCCAACAAGAUGAUGCUGAGCAACCCACUGCUGCAGGGCAGGGGCAAAGUAAAAAGCUGACAUCCUCUGGUCUGGAUCCUAAACUACACCAGUCUGUUCUGUCUAUCAAUAUUCUGUUCUUUAAAACUUUUGCAUCUUUUCUACAUAUUUGUACAUAAAUGCCUUAAUAAAACUGACUUCUGUAA